AACGAACGCUGGCGGCAGGCUUAACACAUGCAAGUCGAACGCCCCGCAAGGGGAGUGGCAGACGGGUGAGUAACGCGUGGGAACAUACCCUCCGGUUCGGAAUAACUCAGGGAAACUUGAGCUAAUACCGGAUACGGCUUAGCGGCGAAAGAUUUAUCGCCGGAGGAUUGGCCCGCGUUCGAUUAGCUAGUUGGUGAGGUAAUGGCUCACCAAGGCGACGAUCGAUAGCUGGUCUGAGAGGAUGAUCAGCCACAUUGGGACUGAGACACGGCCCAAACUCCUACGGGAGGCAGCAGUGGGGAAUAUUGGACAAUGGGCGCAAGCCUGAUCCAGCCAUGCCGCGUGAGUGAUGACGGCCUUAGGGUUGUAAAGCUCUUUCGCUCGG
rnacentral:rRNA from 1 species